rnacentral:rRNA from 1 species
CACGUAGGGCGCAAGCGUUGUCCGGAAUUAUUGGGCGUAAAGAGCUCGUAGGCGGACUGUUGCGUCCGCUGUGAAAAGCUGGGGCUUAACCCUGGCCUUGCAGUGGAUACGGGCAGACUAGAGGUAGGUAGGGGAGAAUGGAAUUCCCGGUGUAGCGGUGAAAUGCGCAGAUAUCAGGAAGAACACCCGUGGCUAAGGCGGCUCUCUAGUACGGUACUGACGCUGAGACGCGAAAGCGUGGGGAGCGAACAGG